UACAGAGGUGGCAAGCGUUGUUCGGAAUUACUGGGCGUAAAGGGCGCGUAGGCGGUCCGAUAAGUCCUGUGUGAAAUCCCUCGGCUCAACUGAGGAACUGCACGGGAGACUGUCGGGCUUGAGUUCGGGAGAGGGAAGCGGAAUUCCGGGUGUAGCGGUGAAGUGCGUAGAUAUCCGGAGGAACACCGGUGGCGAAGGCGGCUUCCUGGACCGACACUGACGCUGAGGCGCGAAAGCUAGGGGAGCAAACGGG
rnacentral:rRNA from 1 species